rnacentral:rRNA from 1 species
CCGAGUGCUUGCACUCGAUUGGAAAGAGGAGUGGCGGACGGGUGAGUAACACGUGGGUAACCUACCCAUCAGAGGGGGAUAACACUUGGAAACAGGUGCUAAUACCGCAUAACAGUUUAUGCCGCAUGGCAUAAGAGUGAAAGGCGCUUUCGGGUGUCGCUGAUGGAUGGACCCGCGGUGCAUUAGCUAGUUGGUGAGGUAACGGCUCACCAAGGCCACGAUGCAUAGCCGACCUGAGAGGGUGAUCGGCCACACUGGGACUGAGACACGGCCCAGACUCCUACGGGAGGCAGCAGUAGGGAAUCUUCGGCAAUGGACGAAAGUCUGACCGAGCAACGCCGCGUGAGUGAAGAAGGUUUUCGGAUCGUAAAACUCUGUUGUUAGAGAAGAACAAGGACGUUAGUAACUGAACGUCCCCUGACGGUAUCUAACCAGAAAGCCACGGCUAACUACGUGCCAGCAGCCGCGGUAAUACGUAGGUGGCAAGCGUUGUCCGGAUUUAUUGGGCGUAAAGCGAGCGCAGGCGGUUUCUUAAGUCUGAUGUGAAAGCCCCCGGCUCAACCGGGGAGGGUCAUUGGAAACUGGGAGACUUGAGUGCAGAAGAGGAGAGUGGAAUUCCGUUGGUAGCG